GGGUCGUGUGUGGGCACUGUGGAAACACAUUCCUGUGGAUGGAACUGAGGUUCAACACUCUGGCAAAAUGCCCACACUGCAAAAAAAUCUCCUCAGUGGGUAGUGCACUUCCACGAAGACGCUGCUGUGCAUAUAUUACCAUUGGAAUGAUAUGUAUUUUCAUUGGAGUUGGGUUAACUGUUGGCACCCCAGAUUUUGCAAGGCGAUUUCGAGCAACCUAUGUUUCUUGGGCAAUUGCUUAUCUCCUAGGAUUGAUCUGCCUUAUCCGAGCUUGUUAUUGGGGAGCCAUAAGAGUCAGUUAUCCAGAACACAGUUUUGCAUAAGCUUGUUUAUGAUUCAGUAAUGCAGGUGAGAGUGUCUAGCAGUUCUUGGUAAGCUACUCUGGACAUCUUUAAAUUAUUUAUCCUAAUGGAUUCCAUUCUGGUUUAUGUAUAAUCGUUUCAAGACUUUGGGAGUCUUUUAUGAACAAAUGCUCAUUGCACUAUAUUAUAUGCAAAUUGUUUUGCUGCUAGGUUUUCAAAAUUUGAAUAAUAAAGCCUUUUCAUGUUCUUUUACAUCUCUUAUAGAUAUUUUUGGAUUUGUUACCAAACAUUACAUUUACUCUCACCCUUUUAUUAUUUUUAAAUAAGUUAUUUCAUUACUUGCUGAUACAUGAGUAUUCCUAAGUGUUUAUAAAUAUUUCUAUAAUAGUUUCACAUUUAUAUUUACAUUUUAAUUAAACAGUAUCAAAAUUGCUUGCUUAAAACCUAAGCAAUAUGCAUUUUGCUUGAACUGCUUACUGUAACUUUAACCUAAGAUUAUAGUGACC
rnacentral:lncRNA from 1 species